rnacentral:rRNA from 1 species
CCUACGGGAGGCAGCAGUAGGGAAUCUUCCGCAAUGGACGAAAGUCUGACGGAGCAACGCCGCGUGAACGAUGAAGGCCUUCGGGUCGUAAAGUUCUGUUGUUAGGGAAGAACAAGUGCUAGUUAAAUAAGCUGGCACCUUGACGGUACCUAACCAGAAAGCCACGGCUAACUACGUGCCAGCAGCCGCGGUAAUACGUAGGUGGCAAGCGUUGUCCGGAAUUAUUGGGCGUAAAGCGCGCGCAGGCGGUUUCUUAAGUCUGAUGUGAAAGCCCCCGGCUCAACCGGGGAGGGUCAUUGGAAACUGGGAAACUUGAGUGCAGAAGAGGAAAGUGGAAUUCCAAGUGUAGCGGUGAAAUGCGUAGAGAUUUGGAGGAACACCAGUGGCGAAGGCGACUUUCUGGUCUGUAACUGACGCUGAGGCGCGAAAGCGUGGGGAGCAAACAGGAUUAGAUACCCUGGUAGUCCACGCUGUAAACGAUGAGUGCUAAGUGUUAGAGGGUUUCCGCCCUUUAGUGCUGAAGUUAACGCAUUAAGCACUCCGCCUGGGGAGUACGGUCGCAAGACUGAAACUUAANGAAUUGACGG